CACGUAGGAGACGAGCGUUAUCCGGAUUUACUGGGUGUAAAGCGCGUGCAGGCGGUAUGGUAAGUUGGAUGUAAAAGCUCCUGGCUUAACUGGGAGAGGUCGUUCAAAACUACCAAACUAGAGGACAGCAGAGGGGAGUGGAAUUCCGAGUGUAGCGGUAAAAUGCAUAGAUAUUCGGAAGAACACCAGUGGCGAAAGCGGCUCUCUGGGCUGAACCUUACUGUCAGACGCGAAAGCUAGGGUAGCAAACGGG
rnacentral:rRNA from 1 species